GGGCCGCUUUCGAAGUUUAUCGUCUCUUUUACGGGCAGGCGGGAACAGAGGAGGAAACAGAGGGUUACGCCAAACUGAACGAAAAGGCAGAGCCGUGAAAGCGGAGCGGAGCGGCAGCACCUGUCUGUCGUUGCGUUCCUCCAGGGGUCCAGUGACCUUAAAGUCACCCUGCGGAGCAAAAGGACGAGCAUGAGGAAACACCAGAACAAAGUGAAGAGAACAAAUCACACUUAAAAGCUCAAAUGGUUGUUAAUGAAUAAACAUCAAUAUGAAGGAAGGAAAUCUACCAAAUGCAAAUACAAACAAAUGUAAACAAGAAAUCCAAUCAGCAGAAAUGAUCGAAUUUUACUUGAAAAAGAUUAGAAUAUAUGUUGACUUUUAAAAUAUUCUUUUUACAUAUUUGUUGAAACAUUUUUUUAUCUCCUCUGCAUUCACGGCAAAAACACAAAAUCCCCCCCGGCCGUUUCUGCUGCAACACUCCGUACGCUUGAAAUGAGGGGAAACUGGAUUACGUGUGGCUUUUCAGCGAGAUAUAGAAAAUUGUUUCAAGUCAAUACUUCACGGCUCACACUUACGUCAUGAAGAGGGAAGGCGGCGUCAUAUACGCCCUUGGCUAUCAAUGUGCUGAUGCCUGGAAAAGAGAAGAGGGGCAUCGGUGAGGUCAGGUCAGGUCACGUCACGUCUCAAGUAUUAUUUUAAAUGGAGCAGGUUUUAAAUCAGAAACUCAAGACCAUUGGUCAGAGUGAAGAAAAAAAAAACAGAUAGCAAAGCAGUUCUGUUAAUUGAGUUUUUCAGACGCGGUCCAACUAAAAUGUAAAAUGUCAGCCUAUAUGGACAAGUUCAAUGCGUCUUUUUGUUUUGAAUUUUGCAACUUUUCAUUCCGAUCUCUGAAGAGCUUUCAAAGAAAACUUGUUGUAUGUUACUUGUGCUUUGAGCUGAUGAACGUAGAAAUGAUUGUGUCAGAGAUGAUACUGCAUCAUAUCCAUCGGAGAUCUGUGAAUUGAACCGAAUUGAAAUCACAUUGUGACGUCCAUUGUAAUGUAAUCUCAACAACACAAUUUAAUAUUGCAUAAUAGUGAUUUAAACGGCUAGCUUAAGAGUUUAUAUCUUUGUAGAAUUUUAUGUGAUAAACACCCAAUGUCAAUGUAGAAUUGGUGUCAAUCACCAAUUUAAUUGACUUUUAACAUCAUCAUUUAUAUGUUCUAUUGUGCUCUCAGAUAUUGCUCCUGUGCGUCGUUUGUUUGACAGAGGGAAGAGAGAGAACAUGAGAAGAGGAAACAGAACUGAAGCACCCACUUCAAAAUAAGAGGAUGAUUGUGCAGCUAAAUACAUGAAGAAUUUUUAACAGUUGCUCUGUGAGAACCUGCUGGCUGAGGCCGUCUGCUGCCAUGGGCCAGCCAACCAGACAUAUGGGGGACACUGGACAUGAAAAGGGUGUCAGCUCAUUUCCACAGAGGAACCACGGCUCGCACACAGGAGAAAAUAGCAACCAGGUGUUGCUAAGGAGGCGAAGAGAUGGAUCCGAAGUGGUGAAGUUUGGUCAUAAGCAGAGAACAUAGCAGAUGGAUGGAUGGACGUUCGGAGCGACGGACGGACAGUUGGACAGAGUCUUACAUGUGCAGUUUGUCUCUGGAGAAGCAGUGGGACAGGAACUUGGUGCUGCCGUGGUCCUGGUGUGGUAUUUUGGGCUCAAAGGGCUGGUUCAGUUUCCUCCACAGCGAGCUCAUACUGGACCCAAAGCCACUUUCCUCUUUGAGUUCGUAACUCUGAGGAAAAAGCAGGUCAACAGACAUGCUGGUCACUCAGCUUUGAACACUAGAAGUACUUUAGACUUUGAGAGGAAUCGUCCCUUCAUCAGACACUUCACUACAUUUAUAUUAAAUUUGGUAUGUUAAUAAAGAUUUCAACUGAACUUAAUCAUGUAUCAUUUUCCAAUAAUGCACUUCUUUAGGUGUCAGUCGCAUAAAUCCCACUUGAAAUGUGAAAGUUUGUGCCUGGAAUGUGUAUGAAGUCUUUGCAUGAAGUCUGGAAGUGAACUCCGUGUUUCGUCGGUUUCGUGUUUUUAGAAUCUGGUCUGCGUCAGAAUCUCACCUGCUUG